GCGCCGAAGCGGGGGUAUCACCGGGUUGAUGCGGUGAUUGAGACAGACCCUUCGAACCUGAUCCGGUUGAUACCGGCGUAGGGAAGCUUCGCAGGCCAACCG
rnacentral:ncRNA from 1 species